rnacentral:piRNA from 1 species
UACAGAGCAAUUGUGAUAACAGCAU